rnacentral:rRNA from 1 species
AGAGUUUGAUCCUGGCUCAGAACGAACGCUGGCGGCGUGCUUAACACAUGCAAGUCGAGUGCGCGUACCGUAGCAAUACGGUAUGGCGCACGGCGCACGGGUGCGUAACACGUGGGCAAUCUGCCCUUCGAUGGGGAAUAUCUUCGGGAAACCGAAGCGAAUUCCGCAUAACAUUCCUUGGACUUCGGUUCGAGGACUCAAAGCCGUAAGGCGUCGAAGGAGGAGCCCGCGCCCGAUUAGCUAGUUGGUGAGGUAACGGCUCACCAAGGCAAUGAUCGGUAGCUGGUCUGAGAGGAUGGCCAGCCACACUGGAACUGAGACACGGUCCAGACUCCUACGGGAGGCAGCAGUGGGGAAUCUUGCGCAAUGGGCGAAAGCCUGACGCAGCGACGCCGCGUGGGGGAUGAAGCAUCUCGGUGUGUAAACCCCUUUCGACUGGGACGAAUGCCUCGCAAGAGGAGUGACGGUACCAGUAGAAGAAGCCCCGGCUAACUACGUGCCAGCAGCCGCGGUAAGACGUAGGGGGCCAGCGUUGUUCGGAAUUACUGGGUGUAAAGGGUUCGUAGGCGGUGUGGCAAGUCGGGAGUGAAAUUUCUGGGCUUAACCCAGAAGCUGCUUCCGAAACUGCUGUGCUUGAGUGUGGGAGAGGCGCGUGGAAUUGCAGGUGUAGCGGUGAAAUGCGUAGAUAUCUGCAGGAACACCCGUGGCGAAAGCGGCGCGCUGGACCACUACUGACGCUGAGGAACGAAAGCUAGGGGAGCAAACAGGAUUAGAUACCCUGGUAGUCCUAGCCCUAAACGAUCAGGACUUGGGGUGCCACCCGUUCGGGUGUCGUCCCGGAGCUAACGCGUUAAGUCCUGCACCUGGGGAGUACGGUCGCAAGACUGAAACUCAAAGGAAUUGACGGGGCCCGCACAAGCGGUGGAACAUGGUGGUUCAAUUCGACG